UCGACACGACAGCAACUGACAGAUCCCCUGAUUGAUGGAUCGGUUUGUAGAAUGUGUUUCCGCUUCAUAUUUUUGCUAUGAAAAACAGUUAAAAUGUAAAAGCUUUAUUUUAUGUAGGUGUUAGUUAAUGGUUCAAAGUUAACAUGAAAACUUCAGCUGAAAUUAACUGAAAACAUUUAGUCAAGAAUGCAGUAAGAAUCAUUAUUUAAAGAUUGUUUUCUCUAUAACUUAAAAACAGUUGACUUGUUAUCCGAUCUCCGCUGUUAAACUUUUUAAGUAACUUAUGAAAGUUACGAGUUACGACGUGUACUGUCAUGUCUGUCUGUGAUUGACUGACUGUGCAACUAACUUAAGAUUCAAAACCCAUUACUAGAUGUCGUCAUGACUGACUGUGCAACUAACUUAAGAUUCAAAACCCAUUACUAGAUGUCGUCAGUGUCGCCCAUGUUGUUCUGACAUCGUGAAACGAGGCGAAACAAAUUGUAGCUAAUUUAUACUUAUAUUCCUGUGAUUUCAAAUACCAAAUUGAACUUCGUAUCCUAUAUGCAUACUGUCAGUCAUUCCAACAAGUUGACUUAGCGCUCAGUCAAUUUCCAUCCAUUAGGCCCACCAUGCUGUCAAAAGCACAUAUACUGGAAUACAAAUGUUCCGAGAUAAGGAUCUUUCUGAAUCUCGCUUUUUUGGUGGCUUUCAAUUCAUCACCCAUAUGAUAAAAGUAAGCAUCAAUACCACCUAUUACCACGCUACUGCAAUACUUCAUGACACUUUCUUAAGCAUCAG